rnacentral:tRNA from 1 species
GUUGUGGCUCAGUGGUAGAGCACUUGCCUGGCAUGUGUGAAGUCCUGGGUGCGAUCCUCAGCACCACA